rnacentral:rRNA from 1 species
UACGAAGGGGGCUAGCGUUGCUCGGAAUCACUGGGCGUAAAGGGUGCGUAGGCGGCGCGGUAAGUCGGGUGUGAAAUCUUGGAGCUUAACUCCGAAACUGCAUUCGAUACUGCCGUGCUUGAGGACUGGAGAGGAGACUGGAAUUUACGGUGUAGCGGUGAAAUGCGUAGAUAUCGUAAGGAAGACCAGGUGGCGAAGGCGGGUCUCUGGACAGUUCCUGACGCUGAGGCACGAAGGCCAGGGGAGCAAACGGG